rnacentral:rRNA from 1 species
CCUACGGGUGGCAGCAGUGGGGAAUCUUGGGCAAUGGACGAAAGUCUGAACGAGCCACGCCGCGUGAGGGAAGACGGCUCUAUGAGUGGUAAACUGCGUUUGUAGGAGAGUAAAAGCAGAUACGUAUAUCUGUGUGCAAGUACGGUAUGAAUAAGGAUCGGCUAACUCCGUGCCAGCAGCCGCGGUGAGACGGAGGAUACAAGCGUUGUCCGGAGUUAUUGGGUUUAAAGUGUGCGUAGGCGGUGGGAUAAGUUAGAGGUGAAAUCCCGAGGCUCAACUUAGGAGUGGCCUUUGAUACUGUUAGGCUAGAGUGCAGUUGAGGUAGGCGGAAUGCGUGGUGUAGCGGUGAAAUGCUUAGAGAUCAUGCAGAACACCGAUUGCGAAGGCAGCUUACCAAGCUACUUCUGACGUUGAGGCACGAAAGCGUGGGGAGCAAACAGGAUUAGAUACCCGUGUAGUC